CUCGAUUCCGCGGGUAUCGGUCAGGUAGGGUUACAACACAUGGUUCGUGCGAGAGAGUUCCCAGUCUGGAGCGGCGGCGAAGCCAAAUCGAUAGGAAAACAUAGGAGGGAGAAGAUAGUGGAGGGGACAUAGAUUUCUUGCUGGAUCCGCCUUACAGUGGGUCGCUUGUAGAUCCUGUGAACGUGGGGGCAGGUUCAGAUUCUGGCCGAAAUCUUCAAGGAGGAGGAGUCAACACUAGAUUUGAUGAAGGGGAUUCUGUGUCGUACAGAAGAAUAUCACGUAUCCGGCCACAAUGCCAACAGCUCGCCACCAGAUUCAGAAAAACCCACCAUCAAGGCGCCAGGAUCGACGAAAAGCUGUGCUAUUUUCUGGACGACCCAAGAUUGAUUUGCUCAAUUUGACUUCAAGAGAAAUUUAUUAGUCCUAUAAACGUUUCAAGGCACAAGGUUUACUUGUGAUGACUUCAGUUGAGGAGUUGAAUACUAUCUAUGACUGUUGCAAGAGAUUUCGGCUCAAUGUCGAGAUUGUUGAAUAUGAUCCGAAAUCUAUUUACCUGUUGUACUAUCGAAGGAGUUCUAAAGGACUACGGCGUGCCAACCGUGCUAGACGUAGCACAUCUACAACUCUAUUUCGUGUCCGCGAAGAAAGAGAGUUGUUUGCCUCUAUAUAUAGUCCAAGGUAUUCAUAUAAUAGAUGAGAGUGAAAGUUACACAUAUUGAUAGCACGUAGAGGGUCUGUCCUCUCGUGUAUUGUAAUACUCCUCAAAUUAUAGUGUGAGCGCCGCCGUGCGUUUCGUGGUUUUUCUCGUUUGGAUUUUUCACAUAAAAAUCUGUAUUCUUGUUCUUCAUUUGAUCUACUUUUA